GCCUCAGUGGUGUUGUUGUCAAACGCACGAGCUUCAGAAAGGCGUGCGUCGCUGGUUCGAAUCCCGCCUGAGGUG
rnacentral:tRNA from 1 species